UUGAAUACUACUAUUUGGAUACGGAGAAUACUAUCAUUUGGAUUACUUAAAUACCAUGAUUUGGACCUUGUCAUGAUUUGAUUUGCAUACUUAGGACCUAGAAAAUCUACAACUAGGCAAAGAAUUAAUCUCAAUAACUAUAUUGUCACUUAAUCAUCAAAAUCACAAAUAAUGGUCUAAUGGGAUCAUGUUCCUUACAACCAGUAGAGCUCAACCAUCCACUUACGCCUGCCAAAUAUUGUUGUUUAACAACUAGUAACGAUGGAUUACAAAGUUUAAUUUCGCAGGAAACAACAGAGCAGAUAGCGGAGAGGACGGAAUCAAAACCUUAUCCUGCAGCCGCUAGCUUGAGCUCAGCCACGUGCUGCUCGUGCUUCUCCCGCGAGCUCCCACCACUACCGCCCUCCUUAUCCAUUACAUUGUCCAACUCUUCCUUCUCCUCCUCGUCGUCGUCCAAGACGGGCAAGUCCACUAAACCCC
rnacentral:lncRNA from 1 species